rnacentral:lncRNA from 1 species
UAAAUAUAUAAAUUUUAGUUUCAUAAUAUUGAUCACUUAGAUUAUACAAUAAAAAAUAAAAAAGCGAUGGAUGAAAUUUAAGUUAAUUACUUAUUUAAUAAAUUUAGUUGCGAAAAUUACAUGAAGUACUAAUUAUAUCUGUAAACCUAAAAGAUAUUCAAAUUUUGAAAUCAAAAUAUCAUUAGUUGACUCAAAUCUAAUAUAUAAAAAGGUUAGAUAGUAAAAAUAACAUUUUAAAAAAUUGGAUAGCUGAUUCAAAAUGGUUCGUAAUUCAGAAAAGCUUUAUACAUUUUCUACUUUAAUUUUAAUAUCAAACUUCAAUUCUAUAUUUAUAGUCUAAUGAGCUAUCAAUUUCACAUUUAAAAUAUUUUAAAAUAUAUAAAAUAUGAUUGAUCAAUUUUAAUUUUAACAAUAAAUAUUUUGAAAUUUAUUAAAUAGUUUAACAUAUUCUUUCCUCAAAUAAAAUUACUAAUUGAAUAAAAUCAAUCGAUGCUCAAUUCUGUCUCUAUUUAAAAUAAAAUUAAAUAUAAAAGAAUAAAUUACACUUUUGAUCCUCAAGCUAUAAAACACAUGACACUUUAGUGCUCGAAUUUUAAUAGGCUAUAUUUUUUUGCUCAAAGUACGUAACAUGUGAAGUUUUAGUUCUCAAGCUUUAAUGAGCUGUAAUUUUAGACUCGAACUAUACUGUAAUAAAUAUACUUUAUUAUUUUUAGAAUUUUUUUAUUUUUUUAUAUUUUUAUUCUUAUAUUUUAUUAUAUUAUAAUAAUAAUAAAUUUUUUAAUUUUAAUUUUAAUUUUAAUUUAUUUCUCCCAAAUCAAUCCCCGUGGUAACAUUAAUAAUU